rnacentral:rRNA from 1 species
ACGUACUGUGCGAACGUUAUUCGGAAUCACUGGGCUUAAAGGGUGCGUAGGCGGCAAAUCAAGUCAGGUGUGAAAGGCCUGAGCUCAACUGAGGCAUUGCGCUUGAAACUGAUUUGCUGGAGUAUUUCAGGGGUGUGGGGAACUGCCAGUGGAGCGGUGAAAUGUGUUGAUAUUGGCAGGAACACCGGAGGCGAAAGCGCCACACUGGGGAAUAACUGACGCUGAGGCACGAAAGCCAGGGGAGCGAACGGGAUUAGAUACCCCGGUAGUCCUGGCUGUAAACGAUGAGUACUGAGCGGAAGGAGGUUCGCCUCUUUCUGCUGUAGUGAAAACGUUAAGUACUCCGCCUGGGGAGUAUGGUCGCAAGGCUG